rnacentral:miRNA from 1 species
GUUACUUAGGAGGCUGGGAUAGGAGCAGUAUAAGUAACCCUUUUUAUUUUUUCAGACAAGGUCUUUAGGUUGACAAGGCUGGCCUCAAACUUACAUUGCUCCUAUCCCAGCCUCCUAAGUAACU